rnacentral:rRNA from 1 species
GUCUAUAUGAAGUUAUAUAAAGUCUAACCUGCCCAUUGAAUUUUUGAAAGGCCGCGGUAUUUUAACUGUGCAAAGGUAGCAUAAUAAUUAGUUUUUUAAUUGAAAGCUUGUAUGAAAGGUUGGACAAAGAAAAAUCUGUCUUUAAUAUUUAUCUUGAAUUUUACAUUUAAGUGAAAAGGCUUAAAUUUAUUUAAGGGACGAUAAGACCCUAUAAAUCUUUACAUUUAUUUAUUUUUUAUUGGUUUAGAAUGAUUUAAAUGCUAAAAUAUAAAUAUAUGUUUUAUUGGGGUGAUAGAGAUAUAAUAAAAUAACUGUUUUUAAUAUAAAACAAAUAUAAUUGAUUAAUAAUAUAGAUCCUUUAUAGAGAUUAAAAGUUUAAGUUACUUUAGGGAUAACAGCGUAAUUUUUUUUGAGAGUUCUUAUCGAAAAAAAAGUUUGCGACCUCGAUGUUGAAUUAAAAUUUCUUUAUAAUGCAGAAGUUAUAAAAGAGAGUCUGUUCGACUUUUAAAAUUUU